GACGGUCUAGAUUAAAAAAAGACGGAUAUAAAUAACCCUCUUCAUAUCAAACUCUAACCCUAGCCGUCAGACACCCUCGUCGGAGAAGAAGACUCAGCCACCGGGAAGGAGAGCCGCUGCGCCGGAGCCACUUUCGACCGCCGAGGGUUGUGAGUAGGAUGCCAGUUUUAUUUCUUUUCCAUUUAUUCCUUAAUUUUUUAUAUUUUCCUUCAAAGGGUAAUUCCCGUAACACUAUUUGGUACUUUAAAUUAUUGUGUAAUGAAUGUAAACCCUAACUAAUUAUUUCGUUUUCACACUUAAUUUCUGAUUUAUUUAUUUUGAAAUUUUUGGGGUCGUUACAGUUGGUAUCAGAGCCGUGUUCCUUGGACCAAUUCCUCACAUAAAAUCCUUAAGAAGCACAAAAAAUAAUGAAUUAUCACUCAACCAUUCCUUCUGAAAUAUCAGUACAGAUAGAUGAGGAGAGGAAGAGCCCCACUAAAUCGAGCAGCUCGGGAGUGUUCACUACGUGAGGAUAUUGACAAGGUUUUUGAGAUGCUAGAGAGACUCAUCAUUUCCCAGCAGGCCUAGGAGGAAAGGAGGGAGCUACCUGACUUUCCCGCGCUGCCACAGGUUGAGCCACCUCUGCAGCGAAAGGAUCCCGAGCCACCCUGGUACGAUCCUGCUCCUCCA
rnacentral:lncRNA from 1 species